rnacentral:rRNA from 1 species
GAUGAACGCUGGCGGCGUGCCUAAUACAUGCAAGUCGAGCGAACAGACGAGGAGCUUGCUCCUCUGACGUUAGCGGCGGACGGGUGAGUAACACGUGGAUAACCUACCUAUAAGACUGGGAUAACUUCGGGAAACCGGAGUUAAUACCGGAUAAUAUAUUGAACCGCAUGGUUCAAUAGUGAAAGACGGUUUUGCUGUCACUUAUAGAUGGAUCCGCGCCGCAUUAGCUAGUUGGUAAGGUAACGGCUUACCAAGGCAACGAUGCGUAGCCGACCUGAGAGGGUGAUCGGCCACACUGGAACUGAGACACGGUCCAGACGCCUACGGGAGGCAGCAGUAGGGAAUCUUCCGCAAUGGGCGAAAGCCUGACGGAGCAACGCCGCGUGAGUGAUGAAGGUCUUCGGAUCGUAAAACUCUGUUAUUAGGGAAGAACAAAUGUGUAAGUAACUAUGCACGUCUUGACGGUACCUAAUCAGAAAGCCACGGCUAACUACGUG